rnacentral:tRNA from 1 species
GGUUAUAGUUCAGUGGCAGAGUGCUUGCCUAGCAAGUGUGGAGCCCUGAGUUCGAUCCUCAGCACCA